rnacentral:lncRNA from 8 species
AGAGAUGGAGAUAAAACUGUCCAGUUUGAGUGUUUGUUGCAGCUCGUUCCAGUCGCCGGCUGCAGCGAACUGAAAAGACCAGCUUAGCCUAGUAAUUACCUAGUUAGCUAGCAAAGUCACUCAAACUAAUUGUGCUAAUAAAAAUUGUAGUUUGUUUGUUUACCAGUCCUCCUACUAACUUGAAAUGGUUCUAACCAGGUUAAGUAUGCUAACCAGGUUAAGUAUGCUAAUCAGGUUAAGUAUGAUUGAAUAAGUAUCUUUCUAAAUGUGUGACUGCCUUCAUCAAGUAACCAAUCAGCUGUCUGACAGCACGGUCAUUAUGUAGCCAAUCAGCUGUCUGACAGCACGGUCAUUAUGUAGCCAAUCAGCUGUCUGACAGCACGGUCAUUAUGUAGCCAAUCAGCUGUCUGACAGCACGGUCAUUAUGUAGCCAAUCAGCUGUCUGACAGCACGGUCAUUAUGUAGCCAAUCAGCUGUCUGACAGCACGGUCAUUAUGUAGCCAAUCAGCUGUCUGACAGCACAGUCAUUAUGUAACCAAUCAGCUGUCUGACAGCACGGUCAUUAUGUAACCAAUCAGCUGUCUGACAGCACGGUCAUUAUGUAGCCAAUCAGCUGUCUGACAGCACGGUCAUUAUGUAGCCAAUCAGCUGUCUGACAGCACGGUCAUUAUGUAGCCAAUCAGCUGUCUGACAGCACGGUCACCUGGUUCAGAGUGUGACUCUGUGACUGUACUGUCUGGUCUCCUCCUCUCUUCGUCUGUGACUGUACUGUCUGGUCUCCUCCUCUUCGUCUGUGACUGUACUGUCUGGUCUCCUCUCUUCGUCUGUGACUGUACUGUCUGGUCUCCUCCUCUCUUCGUCUGUGACUGUACUGUCUGGUCUCCUCCUCCUCCUCUCUUCGUCUGUGACUGUACUGUCUCCUCCUCCUCCUCUCUUCGUCUGUGACUGUACUGUCUGGUCUCCUCUCUUCGUCUGUGACUGUACUGUCUGGUCUCCUCCUCUCUUCGUCUGUGACUGUACUGUCUGGUCUCCUCCUCCUCUCUUCGUCUGUGACUGUACUGUCUGGUCUCCUCUCUUCGUCUGUGACUGUACUGUCUGGUCUCCUCCUCCUCUCUUCGUCUGUGACUGUACUGUCUGGUCUCCUCUCUUCGUCUGUGACUGUACUGUCUGGUCUCCUCCUCUCUUCGUCUGUGACUGUACUGUCUGGUCUCCUCCUCCUCUCUUCGUCUGUGACUGUACUGUCUGGUCUCCUCUCUUCGUCUGUGACUGUACUGUCUGGUCUCCUCCUCCUCUCUUCAUCUGUGACUGUACUGUCUGGUCUNNNNNNNNNNNNNNNNNNNNAACACAACAUGACAACACAACAUGGUAGCAACACAACAUGGUAGCAACACAACAUGACAACACAACAUGGUAGCAACACAACAUGACAACAACAUGGUAGCAGAACAAAACAUGGUACAAACAUUAUUUGGCCCAGACAACAGCACAAAGGUCAAGAAGGUAGAGACAACAAUACAUCACACAAAGCAGCCACAACUGUCAGUAAGAGAGUCCAUGAUUUGAGUCUUUGAAUGAAGAGAUGGAGAUAAAACUGUCCAGUUUGAGUGUUUGUUGCAGCUCGUUCCAGUCGCCGGCUGCAGCGAACUGAAAAGACCAGCUUAGCCUAGUAAUUACCUAGUUAGCUAGCAAAG